rnacentral:rRNA from 1 species
CCCUUAGAUGUUCUGGGCCGCACGCGCGCUACACUGAAGGGAUCAGCGUGUUUUCCCUUUCCGAGAGGAACGGGUAACCCGCUGAACCCCCUUCGUGGUAGGGAUCGGAGCUUGCAAUUGUUCUCCGUGAACCAGGAAUUCCCAGUAAGCGCAAGUCAUAAGCUUGCGUUGAUUACGUCCCUGCCCUUUGUACACACCGCCCGUCGCUACUACCGAUUGAAUGGUUUAGUGAGGACUCCUGAUUGGCGCCGCCGCCCCGGCAACGGAGCAGCGGACUGCCGAAAAGUUGUUCAAACUUGAUCAUUUAGAGGAAGUAAAAGUCGUAACA